rnacentral:lncRNA from 1 species
UUCCAAUGAUGUGAUGCUUUGCUAUUCAGGGGAAUUCCUCCUAGCGUCGGAAGCUCAAUUUAUUUAGGAUCGGUCUUCCUUGUUCGUUCCCUCAAGUCUUCGGUCACUCCUCGGCGACCUUGUUUUGUUAACAAAAGUAUUGCACUGCUAGAUUAUUCCAAUCAAACUAUAUCGACAAACCUAUAUGAACUCACUCACUAAUGAGUGAGAAAAGGAAAGAAAAGAAAAGGCUAUUUCACUUAAAAAAGGAAGCCUAUUUGCCCGAUUUACGAGACCAGACGUAUGAUCCUGUACGUGCCUACCCAAAGUCCCUGUUUUUAACGCAUUUGACUAUGAAAUCAGGCCUCCCCGGCUGUGUCAUGUGACCCCAAACAUGCAUACCAUGAAAAUACAAUCUUGGUAUUCAGGGGAAUUCCUCCUACCGUCAGAAACUUUAUGUUUCCCCUAGCUUUGCACCAAGCAACUUUCCCGAAUAAAACCAAUAUUUCCUUGCUCAAAAAAGCACUGGAAACGGUGGCUUUUACCGAGUUACCGAUCCUAUCUGUGGUCGAACAGCUUGAUUUCCUAAAAUUUAGGAAGCCCAAAAAAAGCAAAACGAAAGGAGAGACUUAUUUUACGAGCCAGAACGAGGGGGGCCUCUUCAAGACCCUACCUAUCGAGGACUUGUUUUUACCCCUGAAAUAUUUGGUACCACAAGGCCUGUUUUCUUAAAGGAAUCUUCCUUCAAACGCGUUCCACAAAAAAACAAGUAGGACCCUAUUGCAAGUGCCUUGCACUUUAACCGAAAAAAAGGAAAGGCACUUUUCCUAUCUUUUUCCCUUAACGCGGAGCAUUCAGGUAAAGAACUGGAAACCAUACUUUUUUAAAAACUAGGAAAAGGCAUAUUAUGACCGUUGAACCAUUUGAUAGCGAAGAGUUGUUACAGAAGUCUCUCGGUUUUCUUGAAACUGGGUUACCAUGAUUUGGUUCUGCGGAACCAAAAAACAGGGACCCAGGAUAAGAGAAAUACCAAUUUUUUCAUGAUCAGGGCGCCGUGGAACUGAGCAGCCUAUAGUCGAAAGGCCAGAAAAUUCUAUUCCGACUAAGUGCGUCACAGGAAUGGCCUAUUCCUUUAUUCAUGAGCCAGAUGAUGGACAUGAAGGGGAACAUGGGCUUGUGGCCCGGACUCUAGGUAUCUGAGCCUUUUCUGAUGAACGGUGCACCAUGUGAAUUGAUUUAUGAGGAAGUUGGAGUCAGCUUGAGCGAGAAACUGCUCCAAAACCAUCCCCUCGGGCAAAUGGCAACCCUACAGUUCCAGUUUUACUGAAUUGGAGGGACAGUCCCGGGGAGGCA